rnacentral:lncRNA from 1 species
CUAGGUGCAAACUUAGUUUAAUUUAAUUAAAUCAUAUAUCGACAAUUUUAAACCGUUAUAAUAAUUAAUUGAAACCGCUAGUAAAAUAUAGUUUAGCCAACACUUAUGUUUGUUACUAAAAAAAACCGUCAUAAAAAAUAUUAUAUUACUAUAUACCGACGGUUUAGAACUGUUCUAAUAAUUAGUUAAAAUCGCUGCUAAAAUAUAUUUUUGCCAGCGCUUGUGUCAAGUGUUACUAAAUUAACUGUCACCACAAAUCAACUUUUUUGUAGUCGACC